UCGAACGGAAUCUUAGGAUUCAGUGGCGGACGGGUGAGUAACGCGUGAGAAUCUGGCUCUAGGUCGGGGACAACAGUUGGAAACGACUGCUAAUACCGGAUGUGCCGAAAGGUAAAAGGCUUGCUGCCUAGAGAUGAGCUCGCGUCUGAUUAGCUAGUUGGUGUGGUUAGAGCGCACCAAGGCGACGAUCAGUAGCUGGUCUGAGAGGAUGAUCAGCCACACUGGGACUGAGACACGGCCCAGACUCCUACGGGAGGCAGCAGUGGGGAAUUUUCCGCAAUGGGCGAAAGCCUGACGGAGCAAUACCGCGUGAGGGAGGAAGGCUCUUGGGUUGUAAACCUCUUUUCUCAAGGAAUAAGAAAGCGAAGGUACUUGAGGAAUAAGCAUCGGCUAACUCCGUGCCAGCAGCCGCGGUAAUACGGAGGAUGUAAGCGUUA
rnacentral:rRNA from 1 species